GAAACACGGUAAGCAAUGGUUUUGAUGAAAGAGCUCUAUUUUGGAACACCGAAAGCCCAUCUUUCAUGAACUGAUGGAAUUAUGGUUAUCGAUGAACAAGAAACCAGAGAUGGAGUAUUUAUCGGAAGGGGCUGCAUCUGCAACAAAACAAGCAAUUGAGCGAUUGACAAAAAGAUACAAAAUUACUACACCUUCCAACUUAAAAGUAGCAAAAGAUUAUAUUUUCAGUCAAUGAGGUAAUAGCUGGACUUAAAGAUAAGAACUUUAAAGUCGAAAUGGCUAUGAAAAUAAUAAAUAGAAAUAAAAUUUCCAAACCAAUUUUCAAGCCUUUCUUUCUUCAUUAUUCCAUCGAUUUUAACCAAUUGGACCUUCUUACAAUCUUCCGUGGUCCAGUUCCUAUGCUCCUUGCUAAAUAUAAGAUGCGCAGCCACUUUUCGUCAGAGAGGGCUGGUUUUUUCUGGCUAACUGCCGGUGUCAGGCCGAUCGUACGCAGAGCGUCCAAUCAUGGAAAGUUCUCCAAUUGGUUAAAAUCGAUGGAAUAAUGAAAAAAGAAUAUUAUCUUCAUAUUUAGGAUCCCAUUCUGUCACAUCCACAUCCGAGAUCACUUUCCAGCAAGAUGGUAGCCCGACGCACAAGGCUAAAUUCGUGAAAAAUUGUCCCAAUAACUCGAGUUUCACUUAAUCCAGUGGCCUGCUCAAUAGCCCAGAUCUAAAUCCCAUUGAAAAUCGAUGGGCUCUGUUUAAAAAAACAUUGGAAAAGUACGAGUCUGCACCAAAGGAUUGGGUGAGUCUUUGGGACCGCGUGAAGACGGAGUGGCACAUGAUACCUUGCCAGCACCUACUAAAUUUAGUCGAGAGUAUGUCAAUACUUAUUCGGAAUAUGAUAAAAGCUAAGGCCCUUUGGAACAAAUAUUUUUAAAAAAUUAUUAAAGUAAAAAAAUUUUAAACAUGCAAAAGUGGAUAGCAUGUAUUUUUUUGAACAAAUUAAAAUCUCUUGAAGAAAAGGUUCUCUUUGAAUUGAAAUUAUUGUCUCUUUACAUUCUCACUAAAUUGAAGAAUCUUUAAAAACAAAAAUCACAAGGAUUGAUUCAUUUUUAAAGAUUUUACAGGCGCUUAAAGUGAAAAGUGAUAAACAUACAUCCACAUGUGAUCGCCACUGUAUGCCUAUGGGUAAAAAUGAAGUUCACCCGAUCUACAAGAUCCACUUUCAACUGCACCGUAGAAUCACCGUUGAGGAACCACAAACACGAAAUUAACCCGUCCAAUGCACAAAUUGUCACGAAUAUGGACAAACGAAAACUUAUUGCACCCUACACGCAGUCUGCGUUGCCUGCGGGGAUAUAUGUACAUCUCACUGAGCCUUGCCCCGUAAACAAAGAGGACCCAUCUGCCGAGCAAAGUUAUCCCACAAAUCUUGCCGUAUAUACCAUCAACUACAACCCCAGAAGUUUAUUUUGCUAAGGCGUUAAGUUACACAAACGAGUUGUACGCCUCAGUCUCUCUACGGGAUUGAUGAAGCAUCAGGCAUCGCAACAGUGGCCAGAAAUUAAUAGCCAACCUACCCCUGCAAAUCCAUCCCGAUUGCCUAGUGGAAUUAAAUCAUGCUGGUAACUUUAACAAAUACAAUGGUAGCAAUACAACAAACGAUACAGGAACUUAUGCGCAAUCAAAAUAUCCUCUUGGAGCUCCUAAUCAAACAGAAAUCUACUUAAAUGUUUUCUCUAAAUAUGUCUUUCUGGAAUGAAAAUGGCAUUUCACAGCACAAAUGCGGGCUCUUGCAGUUGCUUGAUCAACAUGACAUUGACGCUAUGCUCAAAUCCGAUACUCACCUAAUAAAAAAAAAAAUUAUUUGUAUCUCAAUGGUUAAGAAUUUGUAAAAUUUUUCAACCUAUUACAUUCGACAACGCAAAGCCCUAGAAGAUGAGGAAAACCGAUCUAAAACAUAAUGUAUGGAGCAACUCUCCCCGAACAGCCAACGAUUCCCAGUGUAGAAAACUAAAACAGGCGUAUGUCCACCAAUAGAGAGUGAAUAACCAUUACGUACACAAACAGGGGAGCGGGCUCGCUGCGACUAACCAAUAAUCUUGAAGCCAUAUUCCAAGCAGGAGAACUUAUAAGAGUCUUGAAGCACCAAGUCUCAAAAAUUCUUUUCUCACCAUAAUAUUCAACAGGGCAAAAAAUAUAUUCAAUACUAUACUCAACAAUGAAGGAAAUCUAUCUAUCUAUCAGUCUCCUGUCGUGCCUAUCAAAGAUAUUUGAAUCUUUUGAAUCAUAUCCUGAAUCAACACCUACACGUCAACAGUGGAUUCCCAAUGCACCAAUUUGGAUUUCGCGAAAGACAUGGAACCAUUAAACAAGUAAAGCGGAUAACGUCUGAGAUUCGAAAUGCAUUUGAAAGACGAGAGUAUUGGACUGUAGUGUCAGUAGUGUCAUCCACACAGCAGAUAAACCGACAAACAACUUACAACGUCUACAAACAACGUCUUACAUUUCAUGGCCUUGGAAAAAUAGCAAGCAAAAAUGACUGUCUAGCUAGCUAGCAUAUGUAUAUGUAAACGAGCAAAGGUGUAAGCAUGUCCUUUUGGAUACACGGAUCGAUUGGCGUAAACACAUCGAAGCUAAGAGAAAUCUACUGAAAUUUAAGGCUUGUAACCUACAUUGUCUUGUAAACGUCCGCUCGCCGACUACUAAUCUACAAAUAAACCAGAGGUCUCAAGGUUCUGGCCCAUUCUAAUAGACUUGCGUAGUCUUUAACUUACUACACUAGCCAUACACGUCUCCGGCGAAGAGACUUCUCUACCCAGCAAUAAUAGUUACUCUAAAUAAUUAAGUAAAAAAAUAUAUUAAAAGUCCGUGGGGGUUAAAUCAGACGAUAGUCAGUCAAUAUCGCCUAAAACUGUAAUGAAUUGAAGUUUCGAUCAAAUCUAUGUUGAAAUCUAUCGAUUGUUAAAUGUACUAAAAGAUGGCGCACCCUGUACAUACUAUAUACAAAUAAUCACAGUUAGAAAAAUA